ensembl:lncRNA
GGAGGAUCAAGGGGUUGGUGCAGGUAGGAAGGGGAGGCACGCUCACCCACAGAGCACGGUUUACCAGGGGUUUGGCUGGAACACUCACGGUUUUAAUGUUUAGUAUGGACUCUUACGUCCCAGAGACAGUGGCAGGGGCUCCCCUCUGAACCGGAGGAGGUCCUGUCUCCUGUCGCCUUCAAACAAUGGCUGUCUCAUAAUAUAACCGCUCUUCACCCGGGAGCCCGUGUUCAACCUUUUCUGUCUCGCUGUCUGUUGUUCAGCAGAGCAUCUGUCCAUGCAUCCGGAUCAGCAGAGGGGAACCGAACGGGUCAGCGAGUCGUUUGGACUGAGGGACAGUUACCCGACUUGACAUCAUUGUCUUACGUCAGAUGGCGUUGUCGGCCCGCGCGGCCGCCUGCAUGUUCGCGGCACUGCCGUGGCAUUUGAAUGAUGCCAUCUUUCGGGAAGACAAUGUUGCCGAUUUCACGAAUGGGGUCAAACUGUUGUGCCCUUCAGCGGAGCCUUAAACUGAGUAGACGCCUGGCUGACAGCAGAUUCGUGGUUUAUGUGCCCUCAUUGGCUACUUCACUCGGUACACCUACUGUAUCUAGGAUCGGGUAGGACCCUGUUUUGCCUAAAUCCGUUUCAAAGUUUGCCGCGAUGUGCGUUCAGAGAUGUAUUUCUUCACCACACUGUUGUAAAGACUGGUUUUUGUGGCCUUUUUGUCAGCUUGAACAAGUCUGCCUGAUCUCCUCUGACCUGUCAUUAACACAGGGUUUUCGCCAAAAGAACUGCCGCUCACUGGAUGUUUUUGUGUUUAUCGUACAGUUCUCUGUAAACACUAGAGACUUAAGUUUGCGAAAAUCCCAGGAAUCACAUCUGGCACCAACAAACAAACCACGGUCAAAGUCGCUUAAAACGCACAUUUUCCCCAUUUACAUGUUUGGUCAAACAGCCAAACCGCUUGACCAUGUCUGCAUGCUUUAUACGUUGAGCUGAAGCCACAUGAUUCACUGUUCUGCAAUUUGUGUUAAUCAGCUGGUGUACGAGUGUAUCAGUGGCUGGUGAGUGUAUACUGAUUGUCAUGUUGUGUCAAGUUAGAUGCUGCCCAAGGAAAUGCAUUUAUUUGAAAGCCGAUGAUUGCAUCUCACGUGUCCUCUGUAUUGCACUAUAUAGUGAAAGGGGUAUUGGAAAAUGGUGCACUAUAUAGUGAAUAGGGUGCCAUUUGUGUCAGACAUUUCUGUUUAAAUAUUAUAUAUAUUUUUGUCAGCAUGGUAAAUUGUCUACCAAUUUAGGCUCUUAAGUUUGGGUCAGGUUUGGUGUAUUUCUGAACAAUGUUGGGGCAUGUGCUUGUCCUUGUACUUCAGUGUUUAAGUUUUGUUUGUUUUGGAGUAUUCAGAUACUGUAUUCCAAUAUCGUGCGACCACAUUUUUGUUGUCAUAUAGCUGCAUAAAGACCCGUUGAUAUCCUGGGCAGAACACAAAAAAUACACAGUGCUCAAUUCAGUAAAGCCCGGCUUUGUAGUAUUUACGCAGUAGCGGUUUUUCCACCCGACAGAUGUACUUACACACACACACUGGUCCUGGGGACCAAACGACCCUCUCACAGGAAUGCUUCCCCUUUACAGAAUUAGAAUUGUAUGUCUGAGUACCGGGUGAAUAUUGUAAAACAGACAGUGUAAACAUGCGGCAGGGUGGGUCUUAAUGAAUCCCAGCCUAAAUAAAACCAUAAGCUACUUUGGGAAUGUCCAUGCUACAGCCAAGUUAAGUCCUCUAACUAGCUCUAUGGACAGGAUGUCCAUGUUACAACAAUGUGAAGUCCUCUUGCUAUCUUUACAGAAAGGAUGCCCAUGCCAGAACACAGUGCGGUCCUCUAACCUCAUCUGGAAGGAAGAGCUUUUAACUAUUGUCCCAAACCUGGGUAGAGAUAUGCAGAGAAUGUUGUGCGUCAAAACCACUUCCACGUUUACAAUAUAGUGGACUAUAUUUAUCCCACACGCCUCAUGUUAGUCAGCAUUACACGGUUUGGUCAGGACACUUUAAAAGAGAAACGUGGAUUGAUUUUUUUUAAAUGGACAUUGCGCGAGGGAGGGGCAGCAGAAUAUACAUGGUAACACACUUAACCCCAUACGGUGACUGUAUAAAAAAAACUACAUAGACCGGGUCUUUGGAAUUAAUGUGGCCGGCGCAGAAACAAUAUUUUCAUUUCUACUGAUAGAAAAGUGGGAAGGUGAGGCUCGUGAGACAGGGCUCUUAGCACUAAGGGACAGUUGUGGUUUGGAGUCUGGAGCAUAGGAAAAAUAGUUCAAAGAAAGACACUGUGUAAACAUUGCUACAGUGGAUUUAAAUGAAUCCCAACUGAAGCCACACAACUUUGAUAAACCUCCACAAAUAACAGCUCAGUUUCUGAUUAAUUCAAGCUUCCAUAGAAAUAAAUGUUUUAAGUCCUCACUGGAUGUCUAAUAAAUUACUUGUGUGUAAUUGUCUCAUUAAUUUCGAUGUAUUUUUCCUGACUACUCUGCCCCCGAAACGCUCAAUCGGUUAAGUUUGGGGUUAGGAAUUGUUGGGGGAAUUUUUGUAGAUGCAAAGCCCUGAUUAGCUGAAAAGAUUGGUCUGGAGCGCACCCUCUUACCUGGAUAAACAGUCAUUGAAACAAUUAGGUUAACUUUUGUUAGAGCAGAAGUACAUUCAAAUUGUUAUCCCACCUGUGAUAUUUUAGUUUUAUUUGGACAUCAAAGUGUGGAAAUAUCAGCAUGCGUUUAACUGCACCAGAAAGCUAAACUACAGUGUGCUUUUGGUUGAGCGUAUUUUAUGGUUGUCUUUCUACAAAAUAAAAUAUUUCAGAGUCAAACCGAAACAGCUUAUACUUGAUGUUGAUUGGCAGAGAUUGGAGUCUCAGGCAUAUAACCAAAAGGUAAUUUGAUCCAAUCCACAAACUGAAUAAUCUGUCCUUGCACUUAACCUUAAUUGCUCCUGUAAGUGGCUCUGGAGAGGAAUAUCUGCAAAAUUACUUAAAUGUUGCUUGUUUUUGCCCUGGGAAGC